AGAGUUUGAUCCUGGCUCAGGACGAACGCUGGCGGCGUGCCUAAUACAUGCAAGUCGAGCGGACAGAUGGGAGCUUGCUCCCUGAUGUUAGCGGCGGACGGGUGAGUAACACGUGGGUAACCUGCCUGUAAGACUGGGAUAACUCCGGGAAACCGGGGCUAAUACCGGAUGGUUGUUUGAACCGCAUGGUUCAAACAUAAAAGGUGGCUUCGGCUACCACUUGCAGAUGGACCCGCGGCGCAUUAGCUAGUUGGUGAGGUAAUGGCUCACCAAGGCAACGAUGCGUAGCCGACCUGAGAGGGUGAUCGGCCACACUGGGACUGAGACACGGCCCAGACUCCUACGGGAGGCAGCAGUAGGGAAUCUUCCGCAAUGGACGAAAGUCUGACGGAGCAACGCCGCGUGAGUGAUGAAGGUUUUCGGAUCGUAAAGCUCUGUUGUUAGGGAAGAACAAGUGCCGUUCGAAUAGGGCGGUACCUUGACGGUACCUAACCAGAAAGCCACGGCUAACUACGUGCCAGCAGCCGCGGUAAUACGUAGGUGGCAAGCGCUGUCCGGAAUUAUUGGGCGUAAAGGGCUCGCAGGCGGUUUCUUAAGUCUGAUGUGAAAGCCCCCGGCUCAACCGGGGAGGGUCAUUGGAAACUGGGGAACUUGAGUGCAGAAGAGGAGAGUGGAAUUCCACGUGUAGCGGUGAAAUGCGUAGAGAUGUGGAGGAACACCAGUGGCGAAGGCGACUCUCUGGUCUGUAACUGACGCUGAGAAGCGAAAGCGUGGGGAGCGAACAGGAUUAGAUACCCUGGUAGUCCACGCCGUAAACGAUGAGUGCUAAGUGUUAGGGGGUUUCCGCCCCUUAGUGCUGCAGCUAACGCAUUAAGCACUCCGCCUGGGGAGUACGGUCGCAAGACUGAAACUCAAAGGAAUUGACGGGGGCCCGCACAAGCGGUGGAGCAUGUGGUUUAAUUCAAAGCAACGCGAAGAACCUUACCAGGUCUUGACAUCCUCUGACAAUCCUAGAGAUAGGACGUCCCCUUCGGGGGCAGAGUGACAGGUGGUGCAUGGUUGUCGUCAGCUCGUGUCGUGAGAUGUUGGGUUAAGUCCCGCAACGAGCGCAACCCUUGAUCUUAGUUGCCAGCAUUCAGUUGGGCACUCUAAGGUGACUGCCGGUGACAAACCGGAGGAAGGUGGGGAUGACGUCAAAUCAUCAUGCCCCUUAUGACCUGGGCUACACACGUGCUACAAUGGACAGAACAAAGGGCAGCGAAACCGCGAGGUUAAGCCAAUCCCACAAAUCUGUUCUCAGUUCGGAUCGCAGUCUGCAACUCGACUGCGUGAAGCUGGAAUCGCUAGUAAUCGCGGAUCAGCAUGCCGCGGUGAAUACGUUCCCGGGCCUUGUACACACCGCCCGUCACACCACGAGAGUUUGUAACACCCGAAGUCAGUGAGGUAACCUUUUAGGAGCCAGCCGCCGAAGGUGGGACAGAUGAUUGGGGUGAAGUCGUAACGAGGUA
rnacentral:rRNA from 1 species